rnacentral:rRNA from 1 species
UACAGAGGGGGCAAGCGUUAUCCGGAGUAACUGGGCGUAAAGGGCGCGCAGGCGGCCUGCUAAGUCGAACGUGAAAUCCCUGGGCUCAACCCAGGAACUGCGUCCGAUACUGGUUGGCUUGAAUCCGGGAGAGGGAUGUGGAAUUCCAGGUGUAGCGGUGAAAUGCGUAGAUAUCUGGAGGAAUACCGGUGGCGAAGGCGGCAUCCUGGACCGAUAUUGACGCUGAGGCGCGAAAGCCAGGGGAGCAAACGGG